CCUUAGGCCAAAAUACGCCAGCCGGUGGAUAACUCGGCUUGGGGGCUGAGGAAGGGCGUGGCAAGCUGCGAUAAGCUCCGGGUAGCCGCAAGCGGGUGUUGAUCCGGAGAUCCCCGAAUGGGAUUUCCCGACGUCCGACGUUUCGGCGUUGGACGUCGCUCCGUGGCCUCGAGCUGCGGAGCGGGAACCGGCCGAACGGAAGCAUCCAAGUAGGCCGAGGAAAAGAAAUCAAAAGAGACUCCCUUAGUAACGGCGAGUGAAAAGGGAUUAGGCCAAACCAAACCCGCAUGGGAAACUGUGUGGGGAUGUGGAGUGUGGGCCAGCCGCCCUCCUGUGCCCUGCGACUCGAAGCGACCUGGAAAGGUCCGCCUCAGAGGGUGACAGCCCCGUAGAGGAAGCAGGGAGUGGAGAUGGGCUGGACCCCGAGUACCGCACCUCGGAUAUGGUGCGGGAAUACGGGAGCCACUGGCUUCUAAGCCUAAGUACUUCCCAAGACCGAUAGCGCAACAGUACCGUGAGGGAAAGUUGAAAACUGCCCCGAGAGGGGGGUUAAAAGCGGUUGAAACCGGCUGGUAACGGACGAGGGCGGCGCGCAAGGUACUCCGUCCGAACAUGCCGGAUAGGUGUGGAGGACGGAUUAUCCGGCGUCGUCCGCUCCGUCUUGAAACACGGGCCGGGGAGUUCACCGUCGUGGCGAGCUUAACCGCAUCACGCGGGUAGGCGAAGGGAAACCAAGAAGCCCGCAACCAGCAUCCGCUGGCGAGG
rnacentral:rRNA from 1 species